AGUCUGGAGAGCUAGCCUCGGGGGCGGGGCCGGGCGUCAGCUCCUCGCCUUUUAGGCGCUGGGUAGUCUAUCUGCAGGAGCACCUUGCGUUGGGUCACACGGGUAUUGUGGCUGGAACCCAGAUAUCUGGCUCCAAGUCCACUCCUCCCUAUUUCGACAUCACUCUGGUGCCUCCAGAUACGCGUCUGGAACGUGAACCCUGGCCAUUGCCUCCUGCCAAGCCAAACCCUGCAGCAACUGAGAGACUGGUGAUGCCAUUUUUGGAGACAGGGGACAGUGAAGGAGAAGUUGGACUGGAAGUGAGAGAGUGAUCAAUUCAGCUGUGGACACGUGCAUGCAAGCACUUCCAGCUCAGGGGCUUAUUUAGAGAAGCCAGAAGAUUGGAUUUUUUUCCUGAAUUGGAGUGCUCCCAGGCAGAUGUGACAGAAGAAAAACUGCACAAUGGAGACUGUCCAGUUCUCCUCCUCUUCACCAUCGCUCCAGUCCAAGUCUAAGCGAGCUCCAGCUUCAUCGUCUUUUGCCCAGAUGACUGCAUUGGCUUCCCAGCUGGUCCUACCAGGGCUUCUGUGAGCCUUUUUCAUUUUGAUCUUAACUUCAGCAGCCAAAGUGAUUUUACACAAGAUAAAUUUUAUCAGUUUCCCACUGUCCUAAACUUUCUAGCAUGGCCUACAAAGGUCUUACCUGGUCUUAGCUCUUCUAUUCUCUCUAGUGGCUCUCACCCUAUUCCUUACUCUCUAAACUCUCAGUUCCUUUUCUUGUCUUUUUUUUUUUUUUUUUUUUUUUUUUGGUGUGGUAAAA